GACGAACGCUGGCGGCGUGCCUAAUACAUGCAAGUCGAGCGCAGGAAACUGACGGAACUCUUCGGAGGGAAGGCAGUGGAAUGAGCGGCGGACGGGUGAGUAACACGUAAGGAACCUGCCUCAAGGAUUGGGAUAACUCCGAGAAAUCGGAGCUAAUACCGGAUAGUUCAACGGACCGCAUGGUCCGGUGAUGAAAGGCGGUCCGGCGUCACCUUGAGAUGGCCUUGCGGUGCAUUAGCUAGUUGGGGGGGUAAUGGCCCACCAAGGCGACGAUGCAUAGCCGACCUGAGAGGGUGAUCGGCCACACUGGGACUGAGACACGGCCCAGACUCCUACGGGAGGCAGCAGUAGGGAAUCUUCCACAAUGGACGAAAGUCUGAUGGAGCAACGCCGCGUGAGUGAUGAAGGUUUUCGGAUCGUAAAACUCUGUUGUAAGGGAAGAACACGUACGAGAGGGAAUGCUCGUACCUUGACGGUACCUUACGAGAAAGCCACGGCUAACUACGUGCCAGCAGCCGCCGUAAGAC
rnacentral:rRNA from 1 species